rnacentral:rRNA from 1 species
GACGAACGCUGGCGGCGUGCUUAACACAUGCAAGUCGAACGAAGAGCGAUGGAAGCUUGCUUCUAUCAAUCCUAGUGGCGAACGGGUGAGUAACGCGUAAUCAACCUGCCCUUCAGAGGGGGACAACAGUUGGAAACGACUGCUAAUACCGCAUACGAUCUAAUCUCGGCAUCGAGGAUAGAUGAAAGGUGGCCUCUACAUGUAAGCUAUCACUGAAGGAGGGGAUUGCGUCUGAUUAGCUAGUUGGAGGGGUAACGGCCCACCAAGGCGAUGAUCAGUAGCCGGUCUGAGAGGAUGAACGGCCACAGUGGGACUGAGACACGGCCCAGACUCCUACGGGAGGCAGCAGUGGGGAAUCUUCCGCAAUGGACGAAAGUCUGACGGAGCAACGCCGCGUGAGUGAUGACGGCCUUCGGGUUGUAAAGCUCUGUUAAUCGGGACGAAAGGCCUUCUUGCGAAUAGUGAGAAGGAUUGACGGUACCGGAAUAGAAAGCCACGGCUAACUACGUG